ACGCUGGCGGCGUGCCUAAUACAUGCAAGUAGAACGCUGAAGAGAGGAGCUUGCUCUUCUUGGAAGAGUUGCGAACGGGUGAGUAACGCGUAGGUAACCUGCCUUGUAGCGGGGGAUAACUAUUGGAAACGAUAGCUAAUACCGCAUAACAAUGGAUGACACAUGUCAUUUAUUUGAAAGGGGCAAUUGCUCCACUACAAGAUGGACCUGCGUUGUAUUAGCUAGUAGGUGAGGUAACGGCUCACCUAGGCGACGAUACAUAGCCGACCUGAGAGGGUGAUCGGCCACACUGGGACUGAGACACGGCCCAGACUCCUACGGGAGGCAGCAGUAGGGAAUCUUCGGCAAUGGGGGCAACCCUGACCGAGCAACGCCGCGUGAGUGAAGAAGGUUUUCGGAUCGUAAAGCUCUGUUGUAAGUCAAGAACGAGUGUGAGAGUGGGAAGUUCACACUGUGACGGUAGCUUACCAGAAAGGGACGGCUAACUACGUGCCAGCAGCCGCGGUAAUACGUAGGUCCCGAGCGUUGUCCGGAUUUAUUGGGCGUAAAGCGAGCGCAGGCGGUUUGAUAAGUCUGAAGUUAAAGGCUGUGGCUCAACCAUAGUUCGCUUUGGAAACUGUCAAACUUGAGUGCAGAAGGGGAGAGUGGAAUUCCAUGUGUAGCGGUGAAAUGCGUAGAUAUAUGGAGGAACACCGGUGGCGAAAGCGGCUCUCUGGUCUGUAACUGACGCUGAGGCUCGAAAGCGUGGGGAGCGAACAGGAUUAGAUACCCUGGUAGUCCACGCCGUAAACGAUGAGUGCUAGGUGUUGGAUCCUUUCCGGGAUUCAGUGCCGCAGCUAACGCAUUAAGCACUCCGCCUGGGGAGUACGACCGCAAGGUUGAAACUCAAAGGAAUUGACGGGGGCCCGCACAA
rnacentral:rRNA from 1 species